GAUGAACGCUGGCGGCGUGCUUAACACAUGCAAGUCGAACGAAGCAUUUACGACAGAUUUCUUCGGAUUGAAGUUGUUUAUGACUGAGUGGCGGACGGGUGAGUAACGCGUGGGUAACCUGCCUUGUACUGGGGGAUAGCAGCUGGAAACGGCUGGUAAUACCGCAUAAGCGCACGGUGCUGCAUGGCACAGUGUGAAAAACUCCGGUGGUAUAAGAUGGACCCGCGUCUGAUUAGCUAGUUGGUGAGAUAACAGCCCACCAAGGCGACGAUCAGUAGCCGACCUGAGAGGGUGACCGGCCACAUUGGGACUGAGACACGGCCCAGACUCCUACGGGAGGCAGCAGUGGGGAAUAUUGCACAAUGGAGGAAACUCUGAUGCAGCGACGCCGCGUGAGUGAAGAAGUAAUUCGUUAUGUAAAGCUCUAUCAGCAGGGAAGACAGUGACGGUACCUGACUAAGAAGCUCCGGCUAAAUACGUGCCAGCAGCCGCAGUAAUAC
rnacentral:rRNA from 1 species